rnacentral:lncRNA from 1 species
AUAAUGAUCAAAAACAUCAGAUAAAAGAAAAAUGAAAGUAAAUAUAUACAGCUCAUUUCUUCUGGUAUGUUUCCGGAAAGCUGCCCUGAGACAGCUGGGAGGGACAGCCAAGGAGAAAAGAGAGGUUAAUUCUCUUGGAAUUUUGCUCAUGAGCUUACUUCUUAUGUCAUAAAGAAAAGAAUAUUAGAGUGAGAAUCAAAUUCCUAACCUGGCCUGCACAUGAAAGUCAGCAGUGACCAUUUUCCCAAGAGAAACAUUCCAUAAAACCAGUGCCCAGAGGCACAUCUGACUUCAACUUUCUUGUUUGCUCCUCCCUCAAAUGAGGCAGUUGUUUGAUCGAAAUCUUGACCCACCUAGGGCAGUGGAGAUUCAGAGCUUGUCAGACUUCAAAAGAAAGCCAUCAAAAACCCAAAACCAAAGUCAGCAUUCUUCCAAAGCUCUGAAUUUUUACUUGAAUAGACAAGUGAGCCUCUUCAAAUUGUUUUUCAAUUAG